rnacentral:rRNA from 1 species
UACGUAGGGACCAAGCGUUGUUCGGAUUUACUGGGCGUAAAGGGCGCGUAGGCGGCGCGGUAAGUCACUUGUGAAAUCUCUGAGCUUAACUCAGAACGGCCAAGUGAUACUGCAGUGCUAGAGUGUGGAAGGGGCAAUCGGAAUUCUUGGUGUAGCGGUGAAAUGCGUAGAUAUCAAGAGGAACACCUGAGGUGAAGACGGGUUGCUGGGCCAACACUGACGUGAUGCGCGAAAAGCCAGGGGAGCAAACGGG